rnacentral:rRNA from 1 species
UACGGGAGGCAGCAGUGGGGAAUAUUGCACAAUGGGCGCAAGCCUGAUGCAGCCAUGCCGCGUGUAUGAAAAAGGCCUUCGGGUUGUAAAGUACUUUCAGUCGUGAGGAAGGUGUUAAGGUUAAUAACCUUAGCAAUUGACGUUAGCGACAGAAGAGGCACCGGCUAACUCCGUGCCAGCAGCCGCGGUAAUACGGAGGGUGCGAGCGUUAAUCGGAAUUACUGGGCGUAAAGGGCACGCAGGCGGUUAAUUAAGUUGGAUGUGAAAUCCCCGGGCUUAACCUGGGAAUGGCAUUCAAGACUGGUUAGCUAGAGUCUUGUAGAGGGGGUAGAAUUCCAUGUGUAGCGGUGAAAUGCGUAGAGAUGUGGAGGAAUACCGGUGGCGAAGGCGGCCCCUGGCAAAGGACUGACGCUCAUGUGCGAAAGCGUGGGGAGCAAACAGGGAUUAGAUACC